rnacentral:rRNA from 1 species
CCUACGGGAGGCAGCAGUGAGGAAUAUUGGACAAUGGGCGCAAGCCUGAUCCAGCCAUGCCGCGUGCAGGAAGAAGCAUCUAUGGUGUGUAAACUGCUUUUGUACAGGAAGAAACACUCCCUCGUGAGGGAGCUUGACGGUACUGUAAGGAUAAGGACCGGCUAACUCCGUGCCAGCAGCCGCGGUAAUACGGAGGGUCCGAGCGUUAUCCGGAAUCAUUGGGUUUAAAGGGUCCGUAGGCGGUUUAAUAAGUCAGUGGUGAAAUCUGGUCGCUCAACGAUCAAACGGCCAUUGAUACUGUUAGACUUGAAUUAUAAGGAAGUAACUAGAAUAUGUAGUGUAGCGGUGAAAUGCUUAGAUAUUACAUGGAAUACCAAUUGCGAAGGCAGGUUACUACUUAUGGAUUGACGCUGAUGGACGAAAGCGUGGGGAGCGAACAGGAUUAGAUACCCUGGUAGUCCACGCCGUAAACGAUGGAUACUAGCUGUUCGGAGCAAUCUGAGUGGNGUAAGAGAAGUAGAGUAAGUAUACCACCGUCGGGAGGUAACGGUUCGUCGAAGAAGUAGAAACGUUAACGAAAGGAAAGUUAGUUACGGCGUUGAGACGNGCGACGGACGACGACGAGGGAGGAGGAG